GAAAGGAAGAGAAAAGAGAUUUAUAGAAAAAGGGAAUAGGGUGAAGAAGAAGGGAGAUUUGCAAGAGAUUUCAACUCUGACUUAGAGGCUACCCAAAUCAGACAUCCUCCAGAUCGUGUUGGAUAGUGUUUCGUUGGGUUGUGCCACGGUGUAGCAUAUUUAGUGUUGGAUAUAGACUUUUUGUUGUUUUUUUUUUAUAAACUUAUGAAAUGUUGAAAGGCCGGAGGCCUAAUUACCAUAUUCUCAUAAUCUUUUGAAAUGAGUAAAGAUGUAAAUUAUUUUGUUAUGUAUGUGAUAAGGCCGGAGGCCUGAUUUCAAGUUUA